UACAGAGGGUGCAAGCGUUAAUCGGAGUUACUGGGCGUAAAGGGCGCGUAGGCGGUUAUUUAAGUUUGAUGUGAAAUCCCUGGGCUUAACCUAGGAACUGCAUUGAAUACUGGGUAACUGGAGUACUGUAGAGGGUAGUGGAAUUUCCGGUGUAGCGGUGAAAUGCGUAGAGAUCGGAAGGAACACCAGUGGCGAAGGCGGCUACCUGGACAGAUACUGACGCUGAGGCGCGAGAGCGUGGGGAGCAAAC
rnacentral:rRNA from 1 species